AAUAUUGCGCAAUGGGGGAAAUCCUGACGCAGCGACGCCGCGUGAACGAUGAAGGCCUNCGGGUCNUNAAGUUCUGUCCUCAGGGNAGAAUAAAUGACGGUACCUGAGGAGGAAGCCCCGGCUAACUACGUGCCAGCAGCCGCGGUAAUACGUAGGGGGCAAGCGUUGUCCGGAAUUAUUGGGCGUAAAGGGUGCGUAGGCGGCCUUUUAAGUCAGAUGUGAAAGACCACAGCUUAACUGUGGGAUUGCAUUUGAAACUGAAUUACUUGAGUGCAGGAGAGGAGAGCGGAAUUCCUAGUGUAGCGGUGAAAUGCGUAGAUAUUAGGAAGAACACCAGCGGCGAAGGCGGCUCUCUGGACUGUAACUGACGCUGAGGCGCGAAAGCGUGGGGAGCGA
rnacentral:rRNA from 1 species